GACAGAGGGUGCAAACGUUGCUCGGAAUUAUUGGGCGUAAAGCGCACGUAGGCGGCAUUGCAAGUCGGAUGUGAAAUCUUAUGGCUUAACCAUAAAAGUGCAUCCGAAACUGCAGUGCUUGAGUACUUAAGAGGAUCGCGGAAUUCCCGGUGUAGAGGUGAAAUUCGUAGAUAUCGAGAGGAACACCGGUGGCGAAGGCGGCCAACUGGACGAAUACUGACGCUGAGACUCGAAAGCGUGGGGAGCAAACAGG
rnacentral:rRNA from 1 species